rnacentral:rRNA from 1 species
CCUACGGGAGGCAGCAGUGAGGAAUAUUGGUCAAUGGGCGAGAGCCUGAACCAGCCAAGUAGCGUGCAGGAUGAAUGCCCUAUGGGUUGUAAACUUCUUUUAUAUGGGGAUAAAAUGUUCCACGUGUGGGGUUCUGCAUGUACCGUACGAAUAAGGAUCGGCUAAUUCCGUGCCAGCAGCCGCGGUAAUACGGAGGAGCCGAGCGUUGUCCGGCUUUAUUGGGUCUAAAGGGAGCGUAGGGGGGUUUUUAAGUCAGUUGUUAAAAUUUGCGGCUCAACCGGACGAUUGCAGUUGAAACUGGCAGUCUUGAGUAAAGUAGAGGUAGGCGGAAUUCGUGGUGUAGCGGUGAAAUGCGUAGAUAUCACGAAGAACCCCGAUUGCGAAGGCAGCUCACUGGGCUGCAACUGACGCUGAUGCUCGAAAGUGUGGGUAUCAAACAGGAUUAGAUACCCUAGUAGUC